CUACGGGGCGCUGCAGUGAGGAAUUUUGCGCAAUGGGGGAAACCCUGACGCAGCAACACCGCGUGAGCGAAGAAGGCCCUCGGGUCGUAAAGCUCUGUCAAGUGGGAAAAAAAUCUUUUGAUCAAUAGUCAAAAGACUUGAUGGUACCACUGGAGGAAGCACCGGCUAACUCCGUGCCAGCAGCCGCGGUAAUACGGAGGGUGCAAGCGUUGUUCGGAUUUACUGGGCGUAAAGAGCGUGUAGGCGGUUUAGCAAGUCAGAUGUGAAAGCCCUGGGCUCAACCCGGGAAGUGCAUUUGAAACUGCUUCACUAGAGUAUGGGAGAGGAGAUUGGAAUUCCUGGUGUAGAGGUGAAAUUCGUAGAUAUCAGGAGGAACACCCGUGGCGAAGGCGAUUCUCUGGACCAAUACCGACGCUGAGACGCGAAAGCGUGGGGAGCAAACAGGAUUAGAUACCCGCGUAGUC
rnacentral:rRNA from 1 species